GACGAACGCUGGCGGCGUGCUUAACACAUGCAAGUCGAACGAUGAAGCCGGAGCUUGCUCUGGUGAAUUAGUGGCGAACGGGUGAGUAACACGUGGGUAACCUGCCCAUAAGACUGGGAUAACUCCGGGAAACCGGGGCUAAUACCGGAUAAUAUUUUGAACUGCAUGGUUCAAAAUUGAAAGGCGGCUUCGGCUGUCACUUAUGGAUGGACCCGCGUCGCAUUAGCUAGUUGGUGAGGUAACGGCUCACCAAGGCAACGAUGCGUAGCCGACCUGAGAGGGUGAUCGGCCACACUGGGACUGAGACACGGCCCAGACUCCUACGGGAGGCAGCAGUAGGGAAUCUUCCGCAAUGGACGAAAGUCUGACGGAGCAACGCCGCGUGAGUGAUGAAGGCUUUCGGGUCGUAAAACUCUGUUGUUAGGGAAGAACAAGUGCUAGUUGAAUAAGCUGGCACCUUGACGGUACCUAACCAGAAAGCCACGGCUAACUACGUGCCAGCCGCCGAGUAA
rnacentral:rRNA from 1 species